rnacentral:pre_miRNA from 1 species
UAGCUAAUUGUACUACUCUUACUGACGUGUCACAUAAUUAACAGCAAUUACGGGACGGAUCACUGAGCUGUAGUGAUACAGAAAGUCAGCGCAUCUGUAAUUAAUGCUAAUAAGUGAUUUAUGGUUUCGUUCUACAAA